rnacentral:rRNA from 1 species
AUUGAACGCUGGCGGCAGGCCUAACACAUGCAAGUCGAACGGUAACAGGAAGCAGCUUGCUGCUUUGCUGACGAGUGGCGGACGGGUGAGUAAUGUCUGGGAAACUGCCUGAUGGAGGGGGAUAACUACUGGAAACGGUAGCUAAUACCGCGUAACGUCGCAAGACCAAAGAGGGGGACCUUCGGGCCUCUUGCCAUCGGAUGUGCCCAGAUGGGAUUAGCUUGUUGGUGGGGUAACGGCUCACCAAGGCGACGAUCCCUAGCUGGUCUGAGAGGAUGACCAGCCACACUGGAACUGAGACACGGUCCAGACUCCUACGGGAGGCAGCAGUGGGGAAUAUUGCACAAUGGGCGCAAGCCUGAUGCAGCCAUGCCGCGUGUAUGAAGAAGGCCUUCGGGUUGUAAAGUACUUUCAGCAGGGAGGAAGGGAGUAAAGUUAAUACCUUUACUCAUUGACGUUACCCGCAGAAGAAGCACCGGCUAACUCCGUG